rnacentral:piRNA from 1 species
UCACCCGCGGUCGUCGAAUUCGGUUAUGU